AUUGAACGCUGGCGGCGUGCUUUACACAUGCAAGUCGGACGAGUGGCUAACGGGUGAGUAACGCAUCGGAACGUACCUAGUAAUGCGGGAUAACUGUCCGAAAGGACAGCUAAUAACGCAUAUUGUAAGAGCGGCCGAUGUCGGAUUAGCUGGUUGGCGGGGUAAAGGCCCACCAAGGCGACGAUCAGUAGCGGGGCUGAGAGGAUGAUCGGGCACACGGGGACGGAGCCAGGGCCCAGACUCCUACGGGAGGCAGCAGUGGGGAAUUUUGCACAAUGGGCGCAAGGCUGAUCCAGCCAUGCCGCGUGACUGAAGAAGGACUUCGGGUUGUAAAGGACUUUUGGCAGGGAAGCGGUACCUGAAGAAUAAGCACCGGCUAACUACGUGCCAGCAGCCGCGGUAAUAC
rnacentral:rRNA from 1 species